AUGCACGCUGGCGGCGUGCUUAACACAUGCAAGUCGAACGGAAAGGCCAGUGCUUGCACUGGUACUCGAGUGGCGAACGGGUGAGUAACACGUGGGUGAUCUGCCCUGCACUUCGGGAUAAGCCUGGGAAACUGGGUCUAAUACCGGAUAGGACAAUGGUUUGGAUGCCGUUGUGGAAAGUUUUUUCGGUGUGGGAUGAGCUCGCGGCCUAUCAGCUUGUUGGUGGGUAAUGGCCUACCAAGGCGUCGACGGGUAGCCGGCCUGAGAGGGUGUACGGCCACAUUGGGACUGAGAUACGGCCCAGACUCCUACGGGAGGCAGCAGUGGGGAAUAUUGCACAAUGGGCGCAAGCCUGAUGCAGCGACGCCGCGUGGGGGAUGACGGCCUUCGGGUUGUAAACUCCUUUCGCUAGGGACGAAGCGUAUUUGUGACGGUACCUGGAGAAGAAGCACCGGCUAACUACGUG
rnacentral:rRNA from 1 species